UACGUAGGGGGCGAGCGUUGUUCGGAAUUACUGGGCGUAAAGGGCGCGUAGGCGGCCAGCUAAGUCGAACGUGAAAUCCCCGGGCUCAACCCGGGAACUGCGUCCGAUACUGGCAGGCUUGAAUCCGGGAGAGGUGAGUGGAAUUCCCAGUGUAGCGGUGAAAUGCGUAGAUAUUGGGAGGAACACCAGUGGCGAAGGCGGCUCACUGGACCGGAACUGACGCUGAGGCGCGAAAGCGUGGGGAGCAAACAGG
rnacentral:rRNA from 1 species